rnacentral:rRNA from 1 species
AUUGAACGCUGGCGGCAGGCCUAACACAUGCAAGUCGAACGAGUGGCGGACGGGUGAGUAAUGUCUGGGAAACUGCCCGCGGGAGGGGGAUACCUACUGGAAACGGUAGCUAAUACCGCAUACCCUCUGAUAUGACCCUAUGUGAUUAGCUUGUAGGUGGGGUAACGGCUCACCUAGGCGACGAUCCCUAGCUGAUCUGGGAGGAUGACCAGCCACACUGGAACUGAGACACGGUCCAGACUCCUACGGGAGGCAGCAGUGGGGAAUAUUGCACAAUGGGCGCAAGCCUGAUGCAGCCAUGCCGCGUGUAUGAAGAAGGCCUUCGGGUUGUAAAGUACUUUCAGCGGGGAGGCGUUACCCGCAGAAGAAGCACCGGCUAACUCCGUGCCAGCAGCCGCGGUAAUAC